rnacentral:rRNA from 1 species
UACGGAAGGCAGCAGUGGGGAAUAUUGCACAAUGGGCGAAAGCCUGAUGCAGCUAUGCCGCGUGUAUGAAGAAGGCCUUAGGGUUGUAAAGUACUUUCAUCGGGGAGGAAAAACAAAACUAAUAAUUUUAUUUCUUGACGUUACCCGAAAAAGAAGCACCGGCUAACUCCGUGCCAGCAGCCGCGGUAAUACGGAGGGUGCUAGCGUUAAUCAGAAUUACUGGGCGUAAAGAGCACGUAGGUGGUUUUUUAAGUCAGAUGUGAAAUCCCUGGGCUUAACCUAGGAACUGCAUUUUGAAACUGAAAUACUAGAGUAUCGUAGAGGGAGGUAGAAUUCUAGGUGUAGCGGUGAAAUGCGUAGAUAUCUGGAGGAAUACCUGUGGCGAAAGCGGCCUCCUAAACGAAUACUGACACUGAGGUGCGAAAGCGUGGGGAGCAAAACAGGGAUUAGAUA